rnacentral:lncRNA from 1 species
GUUGAAUUAUUAAUCGGCCAAAAUGACGAGGAAAAGGAACCAACAGAUGAGUACGCAAGCAAGCUAGGAGGUGACAUCUAUAUACAUUAAGAAUGAGACUUACUAGUUCUUGGAUCAGCAUAAAAAUUCUCAAUUUAGUAAGUUGAAAUGGCAUGCAAAUGAUCUCUAUAUAUGCGAUAUUUUAUUUUAUCAAAGUGGAUCACAUGUCACCUUUUUAAUGGAUUCUUACCAUGUAGUAUCAUUUUCUCUUUUGAUGCAUGUUACAGGUUACCAUGAUUUUGAAUGAAGUUCUUAGGUUAUACCCGCCAGUAAUUAUGCUUAAUCGAGAUGUUCAUGAAGAAAUAAAGCUUGGAAAUUUGCUAUUACCUGCCGGAGUGCAGAUCUCGUUGCCAACAAUCCUCCUUCACCAAGAUCAUGAACUAUGGGGUGAUGAUGCCUCUGAGUUCAAACCAGAGAGGUUUGCUGAAGGUGUUUCAAAGGCAACAAAGAGUCAAGUCUCAUUCCUUCCAUUUGGAUGGGGUCCUCGAAUAUGCGUUGGACAAAACUUUGCUUUGAUUGAAGCAAAAAUGGCUUUGGCAAUGGUUUUACAGCGCUACUCUUUUGAGCUCUCUCCGUCGUAUAUUCAUGCUCCUCGCACAGUCAUAACUCUUCAGCCACAGCACGGUGCUCCAAUGAUAUUACGUAAACUCUAAAAUGUUUAUAUGUGACGGGUAAGAGUUAUCCCAGGGUAUAAAGUAGGUUGGAUCUCCCACUAAACCAAACCAAAAACAAAGCCUCUAGUUUAUGAUGUUAUGUGCAAAUUAUGUUAUAAUGUCCAAUGACAUAUUUCUCAUAUUAAUCACAACAUUAUAGUACCGUGGGUUGUUUUGAGUGUUUUGAAUUUUUUUUAUGAGCCAUUGAUCAGUAAAAGAUUAUUUGGGGUGUAUUUUUUUUUCCAUGGUGAAAAGACUUUUUUAUUUCUAAAUUCAACAAAACUUGUUGACUAAAGGGUUUUUAGAUAGUAAAAAUAUUUAAAAUAUUUCUUUACCCUAGGAUCAAAAAGUUAUUAGGUUAUUGAACAAUAGGUUUUUUUGUUUUUCCAUUAUUCAUAUGUAGUAAAAGUACAUUUUUAGCCCUAGAUAAGACAAAAAAUCAGGUUUUUAUUUAGAGGUAUUUUUAUAUUUUCGCAUGGCUUUUAGAUAAUUACAAAGGUUAUAAGAGUUUUUUAAUAUUUUUAAGUUGAGUUUUUAAUUUUUUAAUCAAAAAAGUUAUUGGUGUAUGGUAAGCACGUCAACAUACAUAGAUGAUGUCGGCAUCAUUCAAACAAUAAUGAUAGAUAAACUUGGCAUUCCAUGGCAUAUAAUAAUUAAAUUGUCGCUAGUAUUAGGGUUAGAUUGCUAAUGUAAAAAAAUACAUGUAACUGAAACUAAAGUAAUGAUCGUAUCAGUUUAUAUGGUCAUAUGUAAAAAAGAGUACAAUUUUUAUAUUUGGCUCGCUUACUAAAUGACUGGCUCAGUUAAACUAAUCGGAAGAAGGGUAGUAACUGAAUAUAUAUAUAAUUAGCUGACAUCACAGCUCAAUGGCUUAGAAGAAAUCUAGAAUGAGUCUCCAGCAGCUUCUCUUCUGCAGGGCUUGUCUGAAAUGCAGAAAAUAAUCCUGCCACCCAUAGAGGCUUGUUGCUUAGUAUUUCUCUUGUCUGCAGGACUGGCUCAGUUAAACUAAUCGGAAGGGUGUGACUUAUAGUUCCUUCAAGGUAUGGUUUAUGAUGCACUUGCUAUUAUUAUCAUUAUUAUUAUUAUUAUUAUUAUUAUUAUUAGAGGCCUUUGCCAAUUGAUGAAUUAACUGUGAAAGAAAAUUGAAUUAAGAAGUACAUUAUGGAGUAAAGAAAAAGGGUAGUAACUGAAUAUGGAAGCAGGUAAAAGUUCUUAUGCAGUGGCUCUCUUUUGUGAACUCAUCUUGUGCCAAAAUAACCUUGUUUACUUGUACUUAAUUACAGAUUCAGUGCUGAAUUUAAAUUUUUAUGCACUACCCCUUACGAAGCCCUUAAAAUACUGGAUAAAACUUACUUCAACCCGACUACUUCUGCCGUGGCUCUUGACACUAGAAAGACCAGAGCUGGUCACAUUCUCUUCCCACCAGCACCAAAUUUCUGCUCAGCUCCAGACAUCAAAACCGUAUUUUCUGCAGCAACAAUCUACCAGAGCAUCUUCAUCAGAAAUAUAAAAGGCUGGAUAUAAAGAACAAGAAAAAACUAUUCUGAUCCAGUGCAAAAAGGUACAUGACUCAUCAAUAUAGAGGGUAAUAGAUAAUAGAAAACACACAAGUAGAACAUGGAAGCAGGUAGAAGUUCUUAUGCAGUGGCCCUCUUUUGUGAACUCAUCUUGUGCCAAAAUAACCUUGUUUACUUGUACUUAAGUACAGAUUCAGUGCUGAAUUUAAAUUUUUACGCAUUACCGCUAUGCCAACUUAUAUCAACUCAGAACAUUUGUAGUGGUUUAUCAGCUAACCACUAGUUAAUAUAUUGGUAAAAGUUCAUUCUUCAUUGAUCUACUAGGACAUAUUCUACUGCAAGCAAACAUUGACUAUUCACCGAUUAAGCAUCAUCUUAACUGUCGUAUCACGGCGGCCUUAAAUAUAUCUUUGAAAAGAAUGAAUUUCUGGCAUCUUGUUAUUUUAGGGAAAAAUAUCUUGUUUAAGGAGUCGCUACCUAGUAUUAUGAUCACUAGGAACCCUAACUGGUCAACAGAGAUUCUAUGGUACGAGAUUGGUUACGUAAAAUGAAGAAAUUAUCACCUCUUAAACGUUCUGCCUGAGACAGACUGCAUUGCUGGUUUUGUCUUAAAUUGCUAAACAUUUAUUAGCAUAUGUUAUGAUGAUUUGUUUAUAAUAUUCCUGAAUCUGGCACUAGUGAAUAUUUGAUCUCGAAUACUUCCAACUUUGACGUUGGUAAAAAUUCCAGCUAAAAAAAAUCAGGAUAUUUUUUUAUUCCUAAUCCUGAUAUCAGUGAAUAAAUUGUUAAAAUACAUUUUUUCUAAGACGUGCAAAAUUUCUAUUUCUACACUUUCUAUUUUUUUAAUUUUUAAUUUUUUUAUUUUUUGGGGGUUGGGCUGGACUCAGCCAGCCCGACCCGGUCACUGGCCCAAGCCAGUGACCAGGCUGGGCUGAGCAACACGCGUGCGCUAACGCACGCGUGUUGCUACAAUGUGCAAGUGAAUUAAAAUUCACUUGCACAGAGCCAAUGGCAAGGUGCUUGACAGUGUGAUAACGGUUGCUUUUCAAAUAACUUUUUGUGCCGAAAUGCAUGCCAAUGAUGUUUUUUUAUUUUUAAAAAAUUAUUUUUGACACCAGCACAAGAAUCACUAGGGACUAUUUGCCUUAAACUAAAGGGAUGCAAUCGAGAGAGUGACACAAUGAUUUUCCUUUUAGUUCAGUGCAAGACCACAUUCCACCACUUUAAGGACGCAUGUGGAUACACGAUCACGGUGCCGUCCCGUCCUCCUAUCAUAGAUGUGUCAAAUUCCCAUUCCAAGGAGGAAGAACCAUAGUGAGAACAGAGAAAAACAUACCCAACCCCCGAGUACCACAUCAAAACAAUCCAAAUCAUAUUAAAUUUUAAUAAAAAAAAUUAAUUUUUUGGGCAAGAAGGAAAGGUUCGCUUACCUGGUCUGGGAGGCGAUGGUGAAGUUCCUUCUGUGUGAUUGAACCACGCUUGGCAGGGCACCUUUUCCACCUUUCCUUGCAUUUUUCUGGCCUUAUUUCUUCUGCUGCUAAUGACUCGGAGCAGAAACUUUAGGCUAAUGACCGAACUGAUUCUCUGUUUUCUUUUAUUUGCUUGCAUUUUAAGACCAAGGCAGGGCUAGAAACACUGAUCCCUGUUGUCUUCGAUCUCCUUUCCUUCCUCCUUUCUUUCUUGUUUCUGUGUUUUUUUUUUUUGUUUUGGUUCGUGCUUUAUUUCGUCCCUCUCUGUUUUUUUGUUCUCCCUCCUCCUUGUUCUCUCUGCCAGUUCCUCUUCCUUUUCUUUUUUAUUCCUCGUUUUUUUCUUUGUUCUUUUUUUACUCUCGAUCUCUCUCUCUAUUCCCGCGGUUCCCCCUCUGUUUUCUUCUUCCCCCCCUCUGUCCCCUCACGAGGUUGCCUUUACCUGGGUUUUUAUAGGGCUGGGAGAUCGAUCGGCGCUGUAACAGCCGACAGUAAUGGCGUGGGGCACUCCAUUCAAAGGAGAAACGUCCCUGCCUUUGAUGGCGGAGCCAUUGCAGAGGAAGAAAACAAGCGAACAGUCGCCCGCCCAAAACGACUCCGUUUUCCAAUUUCAAAAGCUGCUUUCAGUUUGGUCCUUGGAAUUCUUGUAAUUUUGCAAUCAAGCCUCUGGUUAAAAUGUAAUUGGAUCCUUGCAUUUCCGCGUCAUUUUCAAGCUAGUCCUUGGAUUUUAAUUUUUGCAAUUUGGACCCCAAUUAAACCCCAAACUUUGGUAUUUCUUCAAUUAAGUUCUUAAUUUCAUUAAUUAAAUUAAUUUCAAGGUCAAUUAAGUCUCAAAACUUAUUAAUUCUCCAAUUAAGCUCUUGAUUUGAUUAACAAAACUAAUCCAAAGUUUAAUUGAAUACCAAAACUUCCAAUCAUGUUACCCUUAACCCAAAUUUAAUUUAUUCUUCAUUUAUUUAUUUUUAUUUGUUUUUUUCAUUUUUUUUCUUUUUUGUUAUCAUUUUUUCAGGAAAUAAAAUAAUAAUAAUUAAAAUAAAAAAGAUCAAAAAUUGGAUUAUAACAGUUGCCCUCUCUUUAUAAUAUUUACAAUGCAAAGCUAUUGGAAAAUAUCAUUUUCUUUUAGCUUUGUGUAGUAAAUUUAUAAAGAAAAGUAGAUACAUAAAGAAUUUUUUCUUUUCUAGAGUCUUGAAAACUUCGAAAACAGUAGAUUGACAUAUGACUUUUACAGAGAGAUGUAGAAAUCAAGAAACAAGUCAUUUGGAAGACUACCUUUUUUUUUUUUUUGAAAUGGAUCAUUUUUUUUUGGGCAACCUGCCCAAUGAUAAAAGAACGCGAAGGGUUUCGCGGGUGGUCUAAAUGUUCCAAGCGACCUACCCGAUGAAGAAUAAAAAGCGAAAGAUUUUUUUUUAACAAAAAUAAAGAAAGGGUCUUAUUGGUGUCUUAUCCCCGAGAUGAGAGCUCAAAAUAACACUUGAAAGGAAGACGAUGACUCAAAGGCGCACUCGAAAAAAAAUGAGGACUCGAAACGUACUUAAAAAAGUGAGGGCUCGAAAGCGCACUCGAAAGAGGUGAGGGCUCGAAGGCGCACUCAAAAGAGAGGUAGGGUUAGGAAACGCACUAUCUUGGAUGGUCAAGGGCCCAAAGGCGCAUUUGAAAAGGAAGUGAGGGCUUGAAGCAUACUUAAAAAAGUGAGGGCUCGAAGGCGCACUCAAAAGAGAGGUGGGGUUAGGAAACGCACUACCUUGGAUGGUCAAGGGCUCAAAGGCGCACUUGAAAGAAAGUGAGGACUCGAAACGUACUUAAAAAAAGUGAGGGCUCGAAGGCGCACUCAAAAGAGAGGUAGGGUUAGGAAACACACUACCUUGGAUGGUCAAGGGCUCAAAGGCGCACUUGAAAAGGAAGACGAUAGGUCAAAGGCGCACUCGAAAGAAAGUGAGGACUUGAAACUUACUUAAAAAAAUGAGGGCUCGAAGGCGCACUCGAAAGAGGUGAGGGCUCGAAGGCGCACUAAAAAGAGAGAUAGGGUUAGGAAACGCACUACCUUUGAUGGUCAAGGGCUCAAAGGCACACUUGAAAAAGAAGACGAUGGUUCAAAGGCGCACUCGAAAGAAAGUGAGGACUCGAAACGUAAUUAAAAAAAGUGAGGGCUCGAAGGCGCACUCGAAAGAGGUGAGGGCUCAAAGGCACACUCAAAAGAGGUGAGGGCUCGAAGGCACACUCAAAAGAGGUGAGGGCUCGAAGGCGCACUCAAAAGAGAGGUAGAGUUAGGAAACACACUACCUUGGAUGGUCGAGGGCUCGAAGGCGCAGUCGAAAAGGAAGUGAGGGCUUGAAGUCGCUCUCGAAAGGGAGGUAGGGUUAGGAAACGCACUACCUUGGAUGGUCAAGGGCUCAAAGACGCACUAAAAAAGAGGUGAAGGCUUGAAGGCUCAUUUGAAAGGAGAUGAAGGCUCGAAGGGGCACUUGAAAUGAGGUAGGGUUAGGAAACAUAUUACCUUAGAUGGUCGAGGGCUCGAAGGCGCACUCGAAAAGGAAGCGAGGGCUUAAAGGCGCUCUCGAAAGGGAGGUAAGGUUAGGAAACACACUACCUCGAGAAUGGAAAAUGAAAAGUGGUGGAAAAAUAUAGAGAUUUUUUCAGGUGGCCUAAUUCUCAUGGGCGGCCUGCCCAACAAUUUCAAUCUUGGCCAUUUCAAGGUGGCCUUCCAUUUGAUGGAUCCUGAUAGAAAUUUGCAAAACUUAUUGCCCAUUGUUUCAAAGUUUAGAUGAUAUGCAUGCAUCUUUACCUGUUUUGAAAUAUAGGCCCCCCAUUUUUUCUUGAUCUUCUUGUUACUUUGAUUGAUGAGGACUUGUUAUCUUUUAUUUGGGUCAUCUUCAUCAUUUGACUUCUAGUCCACUCGAGUUGGCCCAUGUAAAUCUUUUUCCAAAUUUGUUUACACAACUCAGCCUUCAUGAUGCCCAUCAUGACCCACUAUCUUGCUAGAGAUUUUCUGUCUCGCCAUAUAAUUUGAGAGGAUCAUUCAUUACCCUAGUGUCACUACUACAAACAUUCGGUGUCAAUUGCUGAAAGGAUCAAACUGUUUUUCGUAAACCAAAAUGCCCCCUUGUCUUGUUGUAGGGGAUGCUCCUCUUUUUUUCCUAGAAGGGAUCGAUUCUCUUUCUAAACACAAUGUUGCCCCCUUGUACUGAUCAUUGCCCCCAAGUGUGCUAUGUCAGUGACUUAGACAAAUAAUGGUUUUAAGAGGCCAUUCUCUCAUUUUUCUCCUUUUAGUUUGGUGAAGGAAUAUGGGUCUAAAAUGAAUCUUGAAAUCUUGAUCUUGCAUUUUGAAAACAAAAAUUAUUUCGAUGUGAGUCUAAAACAAUUUACUUUUGAAAUCUUGCAACUCCUUGGUUAUUUUUUUUCUUGGAAGAGAUUAUUUGCUCUUGUGUUUGGCAAUGAGGUCUCCGGUGAAAAUACAUCAUGAGGUGACCUUUUGUUUUUAUAGGUUUUCAAAGUGAAGGGCUCGAGAAAAAGCUCGAGGUUUUGCUUGAGAAAAACUUAUCUCUUUUUGAACACUUAUUUUUAUCAGCAUGAAUAAUAAUGAGUAGUUUGUUCUUGAUGUCAUGAAUCUUAUGAAAAAGUACUCUUUGCAUUUUGAGAGCAUUGUUUAUUGUUCUAGUUGCUUGCUUGCUUGAUUAGAAAGGACUUCUACAUGCACGUAAUGUAUGUUGUGGUUCUUGGCUACGAAAGAAAAGGAUUCAUAAGGCUCAAAGAGUGUUUCAGGGUUUCAAAGACUGAGGAUCACUAUCAGCAAUUCGACUCUUGAUGUCGUUCAUCUUUUCUUUUACCGCUCUUCUUUGAUUUGCCCUUUUUUUUCUUUUUUAUUGCUUUGCUAGGGCAUACUCAUUUUAUCUUGGAUGUCACUUUUUUUAGUGAUUUGGGCAUGCCCCCUAGCAUUUGAGUUUCUUGAGCUCUUAUACCUUUUUUGGCUUUCUCACAGCUUUUUCUCUUUUCUUAUUGAAAUUUUCUCUUGCCCCCUAGUGUGGGGUGUGAUCCUUGUCGGGAUUUUUUUCAUGAAAGAAAAAUUAUUUAGGCUAAAAAAGGGAUCGUAAGGGAUGUACUUAUUUCAGAACGUGAAAGGAAUAACAAAGAUGACCUUUCCUCAUUUCAAGCGCAAGUAGCUAUGAUCAAUAAACUUUGACCUCAUCCAGUGUGAUGGUUUGGUCUUUGCAAAGAUGCAUUUUAUGAGUCAUGAGCAACGAGUUCACUACAUAUCAUUAUUCAUACAUUUAAAAACACAUGAUUCAAGAGUCAUGGGGUAAGGGUGUUUAUUCAUUUCUUUUUUAUUUUUUCUUUUUUAUCCAAUAUUCUUUGGUUUAUAAUUUAGUCACCUCAAUGAUGGAGUUGCUUGAUUCAUGCGUCAUUCUACAAGUAGAAUGUCAAAAUUAUUGUUUUAAAUAAACAUCAAAUUAUUUUUGAAAUCAAAAUGCAAGUUCAAUUUUUCAAAACUCCAAUAGGGAAAGAGAUGAAUGGCGUCUAUAAGAUCACGUGAGGCUUCAAAUGUGUAUUUGUGAGUUCUUAUAAGAAAUCUCUCUCAGGAAAAUGAAUAAUACUUAGUCGUAAACACGAUUGAAUGACAAACUCAUUAUUUCAUUGAAGCUUUGGAAAAGAAGUUCAACAACAAAGAACUUAUAGCAACAUCUUGGGCUAUGAAUACUGGCAUGGUAACACAUAAAGGGGCUAAACAUUUAAUGAUCAUUGAUUGGAAUUUUUGGAAUUUUUCAAUCACUCAUUUUUCUCGACAAUGGCAUUUUUUCAACAGUUCGUUGAAAUCAUAUGCAGACCAUUCUUGACCUAAUAUCACCGUAACUGUUUCUUGAAGGUAGUUGAUUUCUAGGAGUCGGUAUGAAGAAAUUAACUAUAGGAAGGGUAGGUGCCUUGGCAACCAACUUCAGUGUUCCUCCCUUUUCCAGCCAAAACCGUUUUUCUCAAUCGGGUCAGCAAUCUUACCUAUCCUAAUGGCUUGUUCAAUCCUUUCAGUUAUAACGACCAGGUCAGUGAAAUGUUGCGCGAAGCUUCCAACCAAGUAUUCAAAGUACGGGGCCUUGAAAGUGUUGACAAACAAGUUGAUUAUCUCCUUUUCCAACAAAGGAGGAUUAACAUGUGCGGUAGCCUCACGCCAUCUUUAGGCGUAUUCCCUUAUGGACUCCUCGUUGUCCUUCUCCAUAGCUUGCAAGCUUAACCGAUCAGGUCCCACGUCUAUAUUGAACUUAUAUUGCCUUGUCAUAACCCAUUUUUGGGUUCUUCCAAAUUACAUUUUCUUUUUUUCAGAAAAAAACCUGAAAUAGUGCCGUUUUAACGGCACUGUUCUCCUUCUUCCCUGCGCAUGCAGAGGUAGGGAAGAAGAAGAUUUUAAAUCUUUUUUCCCCGCUAUUCUCCUUCUCUUUCCCCUCCCACUUGCCCACAAAACCCGGACACAAGCUAUCCUCCUUACCCUACCACCAUUAAUACAACCCAUGCCUUGCAGACAACCGGCCACCUUACCCUGCAGGGGUAAGGUAGCCUCGUUUCCCUCCCGCGUCUUGAUGGAACAAGGCAGGGGGGACUAUCUCUCCGCUUGGCUAUAAAUACAGAGAAGGGAGAAGACAAAAAAAAAAAGGGGAGGAAAAGAAAAAAAAGGAAACUAGAGGGGGCAAAAAAUUUAGGAAACGAACUUGAAGAAGAUAACCGAAUAGAGAGAAGGAAGCAGGGGAUUGUUUGAGAGAGGAACUGAGAUUGUUUUGAAAACAGGGUAGACGAACAGAGAGGGGAAGACUUGAACUGACGAGAGAAUAUAAAGAAAGAACAGAAAAACAAAAGAACAGGGGAGAAGAACAAUAACUCAUCUCUCUCUGGUUUCUCUCCCUCCACCGUUGGAAGCUGCGCCACCGUCAUUCUGCUUUGUCACCAGCAGCACCGCCAACGACAGCAGCUCCACCAUCGUCAGAGACCGAAGAAGGAGCAGCAGAAGCAAGAGCAAUAGGAGAACAGAAUACAGGGGACGAAAAAAACAGAUAACAGAGGAGAAUAGAAGAAUAGUAACCUCUCUCUCCGGCCUCUCUCUCUUCACCGUUGGAAGCAGCGCCGCCAAUAACAGCUGCCACCGUCCUCCCCGUCAUUGAUAACAGCCCCCGCAACGUGAGAAACGGAAGAAUAAACACCGAAAAAAACAGAAACAGAGGAGAACAGAGUAGAAGAAAAAAAAUGCAGAAAAGAAGAAGAAAGGCCGACCACCGUCCAAGCCGUUCUCCGAUCAGCAACCGCCAGCAGCACAGCCUCAAAGCCACCGCAGGUCCACCCCUUUUCCUUCUUCUUUUUCUUCUUCUUCUUCGCUGCACCGUCUCCACUAUUCACGUAGCAUGUGAACAGUGGAGGGUGCUCCACUAUUCACUGGGCCGGACAAGUCUGGCCCAGCCUAAAAUGAGUGGGCCGGGUCUGGCCCGGUCCAAAAAAAAAAAUUUCAAAAAUUUGUGAUUUCUCCGUGUAUUUUUCCGCUACGUUUUGCUUAAUAUUGGUUUGCAUUUUUAUAUCGUAAAAAUACAAAUCCGGUAUUAAAAUACCCGGUUUUCAUCAAAACAUAAAAAAAACAUGUUUUUGUUUUCAUGCAUACGGCCAAGUCUCUCAAAGCUAAAAAACUCAUAUUGUAUUUUCAUACAACGAAGAAAAACUUCAAAAAAAAAUUGUUUCAGCAUGCAUUUUUGGUUUUAAUAACCAGUUUAUUAAAGUUACGAGAACUUGGUCAAUAUUUCAAAAAUUCCAAAAAAAUUAUUUUUUUUCUUUUAAUAUCAGGGAUUACAAAUUUAUACGUAAAACGUAUUCCUGAUAUUGAAAAAGGUAGUUCUUUUAUUGAUGUUAGGACGGUUAGGUUUUACUCGAUAAGAUAAGGAUCUCCUUAUCAAGGAGGACUUUUCUUAAACCGUAGACAGACCAACAAUUAGAAAUAUGAUACAACCGUAGCAUAUAUCAGACAAUAAAACAAUGCAGCUUACCUUAGGUAGGGCGUAUUUGGGGUGCUAAUACCUUCCAUUUGCGCAACCAGUCUCCGUACCUGAUCUCCGAGACCAGUUACGGUUCCUAGUGACCAAAAUACUAGGUGACGACUCUCAUUCCAUUUUUUCACUGAUAAAAGACAAGAAUUCCUUGUCUCCCCAUAUUUUCCAGAUACACACACAUUCAUGAUGGUGGACGAUCACCGCGACACCGCACACGUGCGACAUGCCUCAUGAAGGCAUCAAUUAAAUCCUUCCAUUUUUUAACUUUGGUAUUGUCCAACCGUAUAUAGCAAAUGAGGGUAGUGUCACUCAAGCUGUCUUGAAAGAAAUGAAUCAGCAGUUUCUCAUCAUCAACCACCUCAGCCAUUUUGUUGCAGUAUGCUUUGAGAUGAGUUAUAGGGCAUUGAAUUCCCGUAUAUUUGACAAAUUCUGGCACUCUAAACUUUUUAAGAAUGACAACGUUGGGCACCAAACAAAUCUUAGCAACCUUUAUAGGAUCAUAUAGGUGAAUUCCCUCAAAUGCCCUUAACCUUGCUCUAAGGCAACUAAUUUGUUCAGACCAUCUUCUUUUACCAUCUUGCUCUUUCGAGAUUCCUUCUCUAUGGAAUCAAUGGUAAAUGACAUUCUCAUGGGGUAUGCUGGUUAGAAAUGCAUGGCUUGUUGAAAAUCAAAUGACAACCCAUUUGCCCCCCUAUUCUGUGGAUUGACGGGAUUUACGGGCAUAGGUUCAGGCUGAGCUAUAUGUGUUGCUUUUCCGGAUUCUUCUCUAAGAUUGUCCACCUCUUUUUGGUGUUGGACUUCCAACUGGGCUCUUUCUUCAUUUUCCAUUUGUUUUUUUUUUUUGAAUGAGUGUUCUAGGUAGGUUUCAAUGGGGAACCUAUAUUUCAACCUAUAAUGUAAAUCAUGCAAUUUAUGCGAAAAUGUUGAUUCAAUUAAAAAUUCGUAUGAAAUACGGACUCGCCCUUCACGGGAUGACAACCUAAUAGGAAGACCCUAAUUGUUGAGUGCAUCAAGGGGUUAGUCAUUAUCUAGUUUCAAAGGGUCUCUCGCAUGCUCAGCGAUCGUCCUUGAAAGGUCGAUAUGAGGCUUACAAGUAGUGUGAAGAUAGAGGCCCUGAGUAAUAUCAGUUUGGAAUAUCAACCACUUCCAAGUAAACAAUCAAGCGAGAGUUGGAUGGUUUCACGAGUCUUACCCAGGCUAAAGCCGUUGGGGGUACCGCUACUUUCCCACUUAUCCUAGAUUGUAAAGUGUGUGCUCUCAAAGUGAUGCAUGGCAAUAUAAACAAGGAUGCAUGCUAAAGCAGUAAAUGCAUGAAAAAUAAACAAAUAAACACAACAAACAAGAUAGCAAUAAUAAGACAAAAGGCAAAGCUUAAUCCUAAAAAGUCCCUAUGGAGUCGCCAUUCUGUCGCACCAGACAUCGCGGCGGCCUUAAAUAUAUCUUUGAAAAGAAUGGAUUUCUGGCGUCCUGUUCUUUUAGGGGAAAAUAUCAUGUUUAAGGAGUCGCCACAUAGUAUUAUGGUCACUAGGAACCCUAACUGGUCAACAGAGAUUCUAUGGUACGAGAUUGGUUACGUAAAAGGAAAGAUAUUAUCACCCCUUAAACGUUUUGCCUGAGGCAGACUGCAUUGUUGGUUUUGUCUUAAAUUGCUAAACAUUUAUUAGCUUAUGCUAUGAUAAUUUGUUUAUAAUAUUCCUGACUCUGGCGCCAGUGAAUAUUCGAUCUCGAAUACUUCCAACUCUGGCGUUGGUAAAUAUUCCACCACGAAUAAUUCCAACUCUGGCAAUGGUAAAAAUUCCACUACGAAUAAUUCUAACUCUGGUGAUGGUAAAAAUUCCAGCUAAAAAAAAUCAGUAUAUUUUUUUAUUCUUAAUCCUGAUAUUAGUGAAUAAAUUGUUAAAAUACAUUUUUUCUAAGACAUGCAAAAUUUCUAUUUCUACGCUUUCUAUUUUUUUAUUUUUUUAUUUAUUUUAUUUUUUAGGGCUGGGCUGACCAACACGCGUGCGCUAAUGCAUGCGUGUUGCUACACUGUGCAAGUGAAUUAAAAUUCACUUGCACAAAGCCAAUGCCAAUUACAUGAACAAACUGCAAGAAGGAAAGGUUCGCUUACCUGGUCUGGGAGGCGAUGGUUAAGUUCCUUCUGUGUGAUUGAACCACGCUUGGCAGGGCACCUUUUCCACCUUUCCUUGCGUUUUUCUGGCCUUAUUUCUUCGGCUGCUAAUGACUUGGAGCAGAAACUUUAGGCGAAUGACCGAACUGAUUCUCUGUUUUCUUUUAUUUGCUUGCGUUUUGAGACCAAGGCAGGGCUAGAAACACUGAUCCCUGUUGUCUUCGAUCUCCUUUCCUUCCUCCUUUCUUUCUUGUUUCUGUGUUUUUUUUUUGUUUUGGUUCGUGCUCUGUUGCGUCCCUCUCUGUUAUGACACUAACAUUCAGAUAAAUCAUAAUGCAUCUUUCUAUGGAAUGAAGAUGAAUGAGCAUGCACUUGAGCCAGGAACAAAAUUCUUGAGGAAGAGACUGAGGAAGAAGAGCCAAUUCUUGACUACCACAGUCACAUACUAACACAACAAUUUAAGAUGGCAUUUUGAAGCAAAACCACAUUCGUAUUCCAAGAAUCAACAAAUCAUAAAACACCAUCAACUUACAUAAAGCACAAUAUGAAAAUUCAGCAUCUAUCAUUAUUGGCAUGGAAGAACUCAAUAGCAUGCAAUAACUAUGUCCUAACAUAUGUCUAACUACACAAUAUCUAACAUGUAUUAACUACUCAACAACAAAUAUCUAAAAAGGGCACUCACCGACAGGAGAUUUUGCUUAAGAGUCUGAAGAUCAGCAGCAACCACUUCAAACAAAUUUGUUAAUGAAACUGGUUCUCUUGACUCUUUCUUCAAAUUCAGAAGUACUGUGGGACCUUCAGCAACCCCAAUAUCAAGCCAAAAAUGAACAAAAAUACCAACAUUUCAAGCAUUACAACAUAUUAAAUCAAUGGCAGGUGCUUUAUUGAUGGAGACCAAACAUUUAAAUGUUAUGUUAAGUAAAUGGAAUCACCAGAAUCAUAAUGAAUUAGGAAAGCACUAAACUGUGGUCAACAAAGAAAUGGUUAAUGAAUGGCAACGACUUGUGCUACUCUAAAGCAGAUUCGAUCAGUAUCAGUAAGACAAGUCACUGAUUGUUAUUCCUGUUGGAUACAGACACUAAACUGUAAUCCAACAAAUUCAGAUUGUUCCGUCGAAUACAAAUACAUUCAGUAUCAAUAAGACAUGAAACUAAUUCUAAGAUGUCCUAAAAAGCAAUUUUAAACAUAAAUACGAAAGGCAAAUACAACUACUAUCAAUACAAGGAAAAAACAUGAAUAUCAAAAACAGUUAGCAAAACAUAAAAUCCAAAUUAAUAAAAAGAAAGAGAAAAAAAAAGUGUUUCACCCAUAAAAAAAAAAUGUACCAGCAAGUAAAGUCUCAAGGGUCUUUGUUGAAGAAACUCGACACCUAGCAAUAUCUCCUGAAACCAUAAUCUCUGUUACAACUCUUAGAAACUGACUUUGCAUAAUUCCUCACCGAGUACCUAUCUAUUGAAUCACUGGAGGAACAACCACAAGCCACCAAAUGAAGUUUAGCCCUUCCAAAAUCAAGAUUAUAGCAAGUCAUUUACAUCAUUCUCAAUAGCAACACUCCAAGAAAGCUAAAAAGAAACAAUCUUUUGCUAUCCACUUAAAAUACCCAGAUAGAAAAUAUUGCUCAAUUUGCCAUAUAACUAACAGCCUUGAGAAACAAAUAGAGUAUUCGGCAGGUUGAAAGUGUUUUUUUUUUUUAAAUUGAUUUAAAUUAAUUUUUUGUUUUAUUGUUUUUAAAUUAGUUUGAUGUUUUAUAUGAAUUUUAAAAAAUAAAAAAAAUAUUAUUUUAAUAUAUUUUUAAAUAAAAGUAAUUUGAAAAACAAAAUAAUUGGAGUGUUAAAAAUUUAGAGUAGAGAUUAUUUUUUAAAAUAUUUUUUAUUUAAAAAUACAUUAAAAUAUAUUAAAAAAAUCCUUCAAAAUAACUCAUGAAAACCGAAACUAUCAUUUUGAUUACUAAACAACCGUUCAGUUUCUUUAGAAAAUGAAUUUUUUUAUUCUUUAAAUUUAAAGAUUAAAAUAUAAAUAAAAUAAAUUUUUAGAUCAAAAUUAAAAAUAUUAAAACUAAAGGGACCAAAACAUAAGAAUAAAACAAAUUCAAACACCAAAUUUUUAAAACCCGCUCUUCUUGAAUAGUAAAAAAAAAACUUGCUUUUGUGACUUUGUCUUUAGAGUUGGUCCCUAAAGAUUAAAUUAUUUUUAAACACUAAAAUCAAACUUUAUUCUACCAAAUUGUGAAAUAAUAGAGACCAAAAAAAAAAAUCCUAAGUUAAUUGAAACAAAUAUAUUUUUUUCAAAUAUCAAUAAACAUAAUAUUUAAGAAUAAAAUUAAAAAAAAAUCAAUUACCAAAAAUUAUACAAAAAAAUCUUGAAGAACAUAAAAAUAAAAAAUAAAACUCACUGUUUCAAUCUACAAUAAAAUACUAAGCAGUUUUAGCCUUUUCUUAAUCUUAAGCUGAAUGUUUUCAAGGCACAUCAAGGCCUCUAACUUGUCUUCACAAAGUAGUUAGAUUCGGAUUACGAAAUAGAUGUAUAGGAGGACCUAACCUGGUGGUUCUUCUGAGUUCUGAUCCUGAAUCAAACAACACUUGCUGGUUGCUACUUUACAUCCGAAUUCCCACACUCUCGCGCACUUCUAUCAUAGUUUAUGUUUUGCGCUUUUGAGGUGUAAGUUUGCUGGGAGCUUGCAAUUCAAUUUUGGAUCCUUUAUCAGGAGAUCAGCAAUUAAAUGAGGCCUGACAAAAUUAGGCAAGAAUGUAUGUCAGACCAACUCUUCUGCUUCCUUGCAGCAAUAUAUUUCCAGCAGACAAGUUGCCAGGAAUUACUUCCUGGACCAAGGCUUAGGCAUAGAUGCAGUUGCUAUAGCCUGCAAAUUGACACAAAAUUGUCGUAAGCAUGACAUGAAAAUGUCUUCAUUGUUGCCAGAAGGAUAACGCAUUGCAUCAUACAUGUAGUAGUCCUUACUUGGAUCAGUCUUGACAAUGAGGCCAGAGUCCCUGAAAUCACAAUUCCAGUGGUUCCUUCCCUUACGUUGGUAGUACAGAUUCAUGGCUAUUGAUGCAUGGCUUAUGAGACUAUCCGGAGAAAAGCAAGGGUAACCCUUUUGUAGAAUCUGGCAAUCCACGUGAGAGCAUGCGUAAUUGAUAUUCGCUAGUAAAGUUGCUUGAUCCGACGAUGGCUUGGCCACACACCAAGUUCUCUGCAAUAUUAUUGUCAAAGCAAAUUUCAUGGAAUUAGGACAAUGUACAACCAAAAAUUUACCCAAUUUAAGUUGGAUUCGUUUACUUUCCAUCGUAUGUUUGUGUGAAAAGAGAAGUUGAUAGUUGCUACCUGUUCAUUAGCCAUGACAGAACUUCCACCUGCAAAAAUAUGAACAGAGAAGAAAUCCCAAAAUAAGACCAUUUGCCAUUUAUUGUAGUAAUCAUGAUAAACCCAACACAGAUUUGAGAAGAAACCAACUAAAAUAUACUGUACUUGAGGAAAUAAAAUUUGUCGUGUUUAAAUAGCAUGUGCAACUUUCUUUAAGCUACAAUGAUGGAUGUCCAUGGCUAGAAUUGCCUCGGUGGUAGCUCUUUUCCAUGGCAUUAAUGAUGGCGUAGCCAUAAUGUGGCUCUAACAAUCCUUUUCCUUAUUUAUAUUUUUUUGUUUUCUUUCCUCUUUUCUCUACCCCCUCAAUUCUUGUGGAUGUCCUUAAAAUUUUGAAAUCCAGCCCGACCUUGCAAGUCAACCCGGGACUCAGCUGAUCCAGGGUUGGGUUGAAGAAAAAAUAAAAAAAGUCAUGACCUGAUAUGACCUGGCCGACCCGGCGGGUUGACCCGGCAAAACCCGGUCAAAAACUCAGUUGCAAUCCGUUGAUUUUUUUUUACUAAAACGACGUCAUUUUGAAUUUUUUUAUAAAUAGAGAUUGACUCAGGCGACUCGGUGACCUGGUCAAAACCUGGAACCCGGGCCUUGGACUGGGCCGGAUUUAAAAACUAUGCCUUAAAAAGGAAAAAAAAAACAAUUUUAAUCUACAAUAACUUAUUUAACUUCUUAGAACAAAGCAUAAUCAUGCUUUCAAUGUCAAACCAUGUGAUCAUCAGGAAAAAAAUGAAAAUAUCAUCUAACUUAUAAAUGGAUCUUCAUGCUGAGAUUCUAAUGACUAUUUAUUUAUUUAUUUUAUCUACUCCAACCAACAAUUUGUUUAUUCUCAUGAAUUAAUUAAUUUAAUGACUACAACCGUAAAGAAUCAAAACAAAAGGAAUAUUAGUUUAUGUUGCAUGAAUUAAUGAUAAGGAAAAGGAAUAUUAGUUUAUGCUGAGAUUCUAAUUUGUUUAUUCUCAUGAAUUAAUGAUAUGGAGAUGUCCAUUCAGAAUUGACUUUCUACCACACAAACAAUAAAAAAAUAUCACCCACCCACUUCUAGAAUCAUUGAAACUUGCUUGGAAACAUGACCCCAUUUAUUUGUUGGAAAGUAGUUUUUUUUAAAAAGUAAAUUCCGGGAAAGUGAAUUCCAGGAAAGUGAAUUAUUUUCUGAUGUUUGGUAGUGUAAUGAAAAAUAAGUUGGAAAAAAGUUGGAAAACACUUUCCAGUGUUUGGUUAUGUCAUGAAAAAUAACUUAUUAAUGUUUUAUUUUUCUCAAGUUUAUUAAAAUAAUGAGGAACAAAUCUUACAAAUUAAAAAGUUGAAUGAGAAUGAAAUUGAAAAAAAAUAUAAUUUCAUAAAUUAUCUCAAAUAAAAUAAAUAAUGAUCAAAAUAAUAGAGAUCAAAUUUAAAAAAUAAAAAAAACAUGAAAGAUGAAGAAAUUAAAAUAAUAAUAAUUAACAUUUCAUAAAUUAUUUCAAAUAAAAUAAGUAACAAUCAAAAGAAUGAGGACCAAAUUUGAUACAUAAAAAAUUUCAAUAAAAAAAUAAAAAAGAAAAAACAAAUAACAAUUAUAAUAAUGAGGACCAAAGUUAAUAUAAAAAUUAAAUUUUAAGAGAUAAAAUUGAAAAAUAAAUAUUCAAAACAAAAUAUAUAUAGCAAUCAAAAGUUUGAGGACCAAAUUUGAUAUAAUUAGAAAAUAAUAUGACAUUUCUAAAUUUUUCACAACUUCCGGAAAGUGUUUUCCUCCCAAAUUUUACAGGAAAACACUUUCCUGAAAACCAAGCUAAAUUUUUCUUUGACUGAAAAAUAUUUUCCGUUAAUCAACUUUUCUAAUGGUAAACAAACACAGGAAAGUUUGGAAAGUAGUUUUCCGGAAAGUGAAUUCCGAGAAACAAACAUAGCCGAUAUGUUUUGAAGGCAAUAAUAUUUAAUUGGUCUCUGCGCACAUCACCUGCCCAAAGUCUUCGCCUUAUCUCUCGCUCUCUGAUCCAUUUCUGGAUUUAUUUCUUCGUGUAAAAAUGACAAUAACAGUCACUUCAAUUGUAGUCUCCAUUGUUUAUGUUGCAGUGCUAAGAUGGGCAUGGAGACUUUUGAACUGGGUUUGGUUUCGGCCGAAGAAGGUCGAGAGGUGCUUGAGACAACAAGGUUUUGCAGGCAAGCCUUACAGGCUUUUGUUUGGAGACUGGAAAGAAAGUUCAGAUAUGUUGAAGGAAGCAAGGACCAAACCCAUUGGUUUAUCAGACGCUCUUCUACCUCGUGUCAUGCCCUUCCUCCAUCAACUGGUCAAGGAUUAUGGUAUUUCAACACGCAACCCUUUAUUAUCUCUCUCGUAGAAAAGAUGAUUUUUCUUGCUACUUAAAUAUUUCUCCGAUUUAUUAAGAAAUUCCUUUUGUUUUCAUGGUAUGCGUAUUUGAUCUCUUGGUAGUGUUGGUUUCCUACUGGACAGAACAGUACUAAUUACUAAUAGUUGAAAACAUUGGUUUCCAAGUCAGUAUUGAACUUGUUAUUAGUUGGCUAGAGGUUGUAUAAAUAUAAAUAAAAGAACUUGUAUGUAGAGUAUAGUUAUUUUUGUGUUUUAAAAAUAUUUUAAAAAUAAAUAAAUUUUUUUAUUUUUUACUUUAAAUUAUUUUUUAAAAGAAAUAAAAGAAAUAAAGUCAGUAUUGAACUUCGUGUCAUGCCCUUCCUCCAUCAAGUGGAUCGCAUGUCACCUUUCUAAUGGAUUCUUACCAUGUAGUAUCAUUCUCUCUUUUGAUGCAUGUUACAGGUUACCAUGAUUUUGUAUGAAGUUCUUAGGUUAUACCCGCCAGUAAUUACGCUUAAUCGAGAAGUUCAUGAAGAAAUAAAGCUUGGAAAUUUGCUAUUACCUGCCGGAGUGCAGAUCUCGUUGCCAACAAUCCUCCUUCACCAAGAUCAUGAACUUUGGGGUGAUGAUGCCUCUGAGUUCAAACCAGAGAGGUUUGCUGAAGGUGUUUCAAAGGCAACAAAGAGUCAGGUCUCAUUCCUUCCAUUUGGAUGGGGUCCUCGAAUAUGCGUUGGACAAAACUUUGCUUUGAUUGAAGCAAAAAUGGCUUUGGCAAUGGUUUUACAGCGCUACUCUUUUGAGCUCUCUCCGUCGUAUAUUCAUGCUCCUCGCACAGUCAUAACUCUUCAGCCACAGCACGGUGCUCCAAUGAUAUUACGUAAACUCUAAAAUGUUUAUAUGUGACGGGUAAGAGUUAUCCCAGAGUUAUCCCAGGGUAUAAAGUAGGUUGGAUCUCCCAAUAAACCAAACCAAAAACAAAGCCUCUAGUAUAUAAUAUUAAUCACAACAUUAUAGUACCGUGGGUUGUUUUACUGUAAUCAUAGUAGAUUACUAUAAUAAAAUUACAUAUUUGCUUUUGAGUGGAAAAAAAAAAAGUCUGAUGCGGUGUUUUGAUUUUUUUUCUAUUAGCUCAUUGAUUAUUAAAAAAUUAUUUGGUGUAAUUUUUUUUUUCAUGGUAAAAAGACUUUUACUUUUGGAGUCAACAAAACUUAAAGUUGUUGACUACAGGUUUUUUGUAUUCCUUAUAAAUUUUUAGAUAGGAAAAGUAUUUAUUUAACUUGGAUCAAAAAUUUGUUGGGCUACUGGACGAAGUUUUUUUUUGUUUUUUCAUUAUUCUAAAAGUAUAUUUUUGGCUCUAGAUAAGAUAAAAAAAUCAGGUUUUUAUUUAGGGGUAUUUUUGUAUUUUCACACAGGUUUUUUUUUUUGUAAUUAUCAAGGUCAUACGAGUGGUUUAGUAUUUUCACGUUGAGUUUUUAAUUUUUUAAUCAGAAAAGUUAUUGAUGUGUGGUAAGCACAUACGCUAACGAGUGGAUAAUGUCUGCAUCAUUCAGACGAUAAUGAUGGCUAAACUUGAUAUUUCACACUCUCUUUGGAUGUGCUAUUGUGUUCUUUCCCACCUAAUAUGACAUGAAAUGGCAUAUGAUAAUUGAAUUGUCACUGGUAUUAGUUUUUUUCUCUCUCUCUCCUACCAAGAGUUUAGGGUUAGAUAGCUAGUGUAAGAAAAUACACAAUUAACCGAGCAUAAAAAGGAGUAAAGAAAAAGGGUAGUAACUGAAUAUAUGUAUAAUUAGCUGACAUCACAGCUCAAUGGCUUAGAAGAAAUAUAGAAUGAGUCUCCAGCAGCUUCUCUUCUGCAGGACUUGUCUGAAAUGCAGAAAAUAAUCCUGGCACCCAUAGAGGCUUGUUGCAUAGUAUUUUUCGCUAUAUGCCUCCGCACUCCUUGUAAAUUAUUGUUUUUUGAUCAACUAAUAACUUGUACAACAAGAUGUAUUGCACUAAUGAACCCGUUCGAGAUUGCACAGCACCAUUUCCUCGAGAGCUGAUUGAUAGCUAGGAUCCCCGAGGAAGACAUCUGAGAUUCUGAAUUGCAAGAUCAGCUCUCUCUUUUGCCAAUUCCUGUGCCCUUUCAAUGCCACCACAGUCCAUAACCAACUCAGUAGCUUCAUCAAGAGAACCACUCUCACGGAACUCGGUCUUGAUUAUUUCUCCUAGUUUUGGUGAUUGCUCUAGAGCAAAUAUUACUGGAGCAGUCAGGUUCCCCUUUGCCAGGUCACUGCCAGCUGGCUUCCCCGGCAGCUCUGCUGACUAUGUAAAAUCUAAUAUGUCAUCCACAACUUGGAAGGAUAGACCAAGAUUCUUACCAUAUUCAUACAUUAGCAUGCAAACAUUACUGUCCACCCCACUAAAAAUAGCAGCUCUGUCCACCCCACUAAAAAUAGCAGCUCCUUUGGUACUAGCAGCAAUUAAGGAGGCUGUCUUGUAGUAACUUCAAGAUCACAGUCGAACAAGCUAGAUUCCUGCUUUAUUUCACCCUUUGCAAAAUCCUUGAUAACCUGCCAUUGAGCAAGUACAAUUGUAAAUCAGCUUCAGUUACAUUUUUUUUUAAAUUAAAUAAUAUAUAGCAUAGUGCAAGAACUCCAAGGUUAUAUCCUGGACUAUAAAUACUCGGAUAUACAGAAUGGAGUUGCAGACCUACCGAACUGAUAAGCUUAAUGACUUCAAUAUUUUCAAGAUUUGCUAGGUACCAUGACGAUUAAGCAAACAUAAAGUCCCCAGCCAGUACUGCUACCCUUGUACCAUAGUGUUGAUGAACAGUUUCCUUCCCAACAAAUUAGCAGCAGUGAACUGAAAGUCAGAGAAGGCCUUGCAGUAGGCCCAAAAUUAAAUUAGAAAAAAAAAAAAAUGAAAAUGCAAAAUGCAAAAUGCAAUAAAGUGUGUAAUAGAUAUUUCAGUUUUGCUACUCUACUUGAUGUGAUAAGUAUGAGAUCCAAUGAUCGCACGGUCAGUACCAGUGAUUACUUAACAAUUAGCAUAUUUCCUUCAGUUUUUUAUCUCUGAUUAGGGAGCAAUUAUUUUAACAGUGAAAGUAGUGUAUUACAUCACUUUGGAUGUGCACAUUCAAGCUCAUCUCCAGUCAAUAGGCUCUAGCUUAGUGACUUACAUUGAAAGCAGGCUUCAGCUAUCACUCAUCGAUGACAUACUGACUGAGAAGUAGUGAUGUAUGGCUUAAGAUCUCACUCACCUAUGACAUACUCUCAGAUAAAGUGAUGUCUCUCUUCAGAUUCCCACAAGUUUAUAGGCUUUUAAGAAAGAAAGGAUACAUAUUUCAUUGGAUCUUCAUACAAUACAGUGUUCAAGCCCAUUCAACCAAAUAUUUCUUCACAAUCCCUGCUUGGAAGAAUAAUAGAUAAAUUCAGUUGCUGUUCUUAAGAGAUAUAGGAUUCUAGGGCAAUGAACAAGUCCAAAUAAUCAAAGUUGGCUUCGAAAAAUCAUAAUUUUCAUCUCACAGCUAGGUUGACAAGGUCUAACUAAUAAUUAGGACGUUUAAUCUAUGGUUAGCCAACCCUUUCUAUAUAUAUGUGUAGGACAAUAUACAAUAAAGGACCUCACAACAGUUCGUUGUUUCCCGGAUUUCCAUGAAAUAGGGGUAGAGCCAAUGUACACAAGAUGACCAUCUGUGGAUUUUCAAUCGUCAAUACUGGCAGCCCAAUCAGCAUCUGUGAAACCAUGAAUAGACAAGGGAGAAUCCUGAGUGAUGUGCAGACCAUAGGUUGCUGUAGCCUGGAGGUAAUGCAGGAUUCGUUUAACAGCAGACCAAUGAUCUUCAGUAGGGGUAUGCAUAAAUUGACAUACCUUGUUGACUGCAUAGCAGAUAUCAGGUCUAGUGAAGGUAAGGUAUUGUAAUGCCCUAACAAUCUGUCGAUACCAUAUGGGAUCAGAGUAAAGAGUACCCGGUACAAGUCCUAAUUUGGAGGAGGCAGACAAAGGAGUAUCAAGUGGUUUGCACGAAGUCAUACCUGCGUGUUGGAUGAUGUCCAUGGCAUAUUUAUGUUGGCUUAAUAAGAUACCCAUAGCAGUAGAUUUAAUUUCAAUGCCCAAGAAGAAAUGAACAGAGCCUAAAUCCCGAAGCUUAAAUUCUGAUUGCAGCAAAGUAAUCAAUCUAUGAAACACAGCUGAGUUACUCCCGGUUAAUAAAAUAUCAUCAACAUACACAAGCAGGUAAAUCAUGGCACCAUCGAGAGAGAGAAUAAACAGAGAAGAUCACCAUUGGAUGCUUGAAAUCCAAUAGAGAAUAAAAACUCACUCAACCAGUUGUACCAAGCGCGAGGGGCUUGUUUCAAACCAUACAGAGAUUUAUGGAGACGACACACAUGAGACGGGAGUGCAGGAUCAACAAACCCAGGCGGUUGCGCCAUGUAUACCUUUUCCUGAAGAAUGCCAUUCAGGAAAGCAUUAUGAACAUCCAACUGAUGAAUGGUCCAACCAUAUGAGACAACAAUAGUGAGCACAAGGCGAACCGUUGUAGGCUUAAUCAUUGGACUAAACGUCUCCAAAUAAUCAAUUCCUUCUUGCUGAGUGAAGCCGCGGGCAACUAACCGUGCUUUAUAUCGGGUGACCUGACCAUCAGCAUGUCUUUUAAUCUUGUAAACCCAUCUACUGCCAAUCGCAUUCAUAGACGGAUGGGGGGGCACCAACAACCAAGUCUGAUUAGAGUAAAGUGCCCGAAGCUCCUCCUGCAUGGCAGUGUGCCAAGUCACAUACCUGUUGGCGUCCUUAAAUGUCAAUGGUUCCUGCUAAGGUAAGGUCGCGACUCGUGAGACAGCCAUAUGUUAAGAUUGGCAUUUUUUUCUGGAUGCGGGCGAAGCACCAUAAGAUGGGUGCGAGCCCGCUGAGAUGGAGAAGAGACAGUGGCAGGGAUAUGCUGAAGAUUGAAUUUAGACAGAUCAACACAUACGUUAAUUCCACGAGGGGAAAUAGAGGAAGAACCUGCGGUUGAAGGACUCAAUAUAGGCGCAGACCGUGAGGGAGACCCAACAGAAGAAACGCCCAUAAUAGGGGAGCUAGCAGCAACGUUGGGCAACGCCUAUGAGUGUGACGAAUCUGAACCUGCAGUUGAAGAAUGAUCAUAAUAACAUGCAGAUAAUGGUAAGUGAGCCGAAGGAGGUGUAGGGAGUGUAGAGGGCAGUGGUGAAGGAACUGGAGAGGGUGGCAUGAGAGGAUGUAAAGUGACGGGUAUAGAGAGAGCAGAGGGCUGUUUGGGUGUUGCUGCCAUCUGUUCAGUUUUAUCAAGAGGAAAAAUAUUUUCAUGAAAUCGGACAUGACGAGCAAGAUAAAUUUGUUUGGACGACAAAUCAAAACAUCGAUAACCGAGAUGAGAGGUACUAUAUCCUAGAAAAACACAAGGAGUUGACCGAAAAUCUAACUUGUGAGCAUUGUAUGGACGAAGAAAAGGAAAAUAUAGACACCCGAAAGUAUGAAGAAACGCAUAAUCAGGAGUCGAUUUUAGAAGACAUUCAAACAGUGUCUUAUGAUUAAGAACUGGAGUGGGCAUGCGAUUAGUCAAAUAAAUAGAACUUUCAAAAGCAUAACUCCAAUAUUUAAAGGGAGCGUGACACUGCCUAAGAAGAGUAAGUCCAGUUUCAACAAUAUGUCUAUGACGGCGUUCAACCAUGCCAUUUUGUUCAUGAGCGUGCGGGCAGAUCACACGAUGAUGAAUACCAAUCGUUUUAAAAUAUGUAUUUAGUUUUCAAUAUUCACCACCCCAAUCGGUUUGAACAGACUUAAUUUUUAAGGAGAAUUGGCGCUCCACAAGCGUCUGAAACUGAUGAAUAAUUGCAAAAACAUCAGACUUAGCAACUAAAGGAUAAAACCAUAUAAAUUUCGUAUGAGCAUCCACAAAAAUAACAAAAUAGCGAAAACCAUCAGAGGACAAUAUAGGGGAUGGACCCCAAACAUCACUAAAAAUCAAGUCAAGAGGAGCUCGAGUUUGAUGACCCGUAGUUUUUAGAGUCAGACGUGACGACUUGCCCAAAGGGCACGCAAGAUAAUAAAAAUUAAACUGAGUGGACGUACAUGACACUUUAUUUUUCACCCAUAAAUGCAAAAUACGUGGACUAGGAUGCCCAAGGCGACGAUGCCAGACAUCAACUGAAGUAGAUAGACAGGUAGAGGAGAAAGCUUGAGGCAACGAUGUUGCGGAUGACGCGGACAAAACAUAUAGACCAUCUCUACUCUUACCGGAAAGAAGAACUUCCUUUAUCAUGAGAUCCUUAACAUAAAAUAGAGAGGAAUGAAAUUCAAAAAAGACGUUAUUCUUAAGACAAAAUUUUUAAACAGAUAUCAGAGGUUUUUGAAUGGCAGGAACAUGUAAAAUAUUGGAUAAAGUAAACUUGCGGUUUAGUGAGCGAAUUUUAUAGUGAGCAAUAUUUGAGAUAACAAGGCCUUUACCAUCACCAACAUGCAGAUGAUCAUUUCCAAGAUAAGGUUCUGAACUCGUCAUACUAACAAGGUCCAGCGUGACAUGAUGAUUUGCACCUGUAUCAAGAAACCAAGUAACAAGAGUAGUGGUAGAGGCAGUAUUAAAUGCGAGAUUAACAUUAGCUUGCAUAUGAUGAGUAGCCAACCGAGAACAUUGUUGAGCAGUAUGCCCAUAUUCAUAACACAACUGACAUUUUAUAUUGCGAGUAUAACCACCAAAACGAUUUCCUUGCUGCCCAAAACUACCUGUUGGCCGUGAGGAAGGACUAGAGGAGAACCAAUUUCCAUUUUGGCUAGAUUGUUGACCCGAAACAUAACUGUGAGCUGGUCCAUUGCCACGAUAAUAAUUGCUGCGAUUGUUAGGUCUCCAGCCCCCACGAAAACGACCCCAUCUACCAGGUUGAUGCUACACAAAGAACGCAGGUGGCUGCUGCGUUGGAGUUGGUAACAGAGGAGCUGUUACAGAUGGCUGGAGAGAGGCUUUGUGAAGAAACUCAUGUGUAAGAAGGCUGCUAUGGAGAUUAGUGUAGGUGAUGGGAGCAUGCUUAGUGGACAAGCUGGUGACAAGAUCCUUAAACUCACUGCGUAACCCUUGAAAUACAUACAAGUUGAAUUAUGCCAAGGAGAUUGGUCUGCUAGCGGCAACAAGUUCAUCAAACAAGGCCUUUGCCUUCUGCAAGUAAAUGCUGGCAGAAUCAUCAUUUUGUCGUAAAUCCUGGAAUGAGCCAUGGAGCUAUAUAAUUCUGAAAUUUGAGGGAGAGGCAAGAGCUGUUUCCAGAGUUGUCCAGAUGGCAUUAGAGGUGUUACAAUCCACAAAGUGUAGAACUUCCACCGAGAGAGAAGAUAGGAGGGCACUCAUGAUUAAGUGAUCUUGCUGCUCCCAUGACAAAUAUGCAGGGUUGAUAGAGAGUGUAGAUGUCUCAGCAGAUGCUAGAUGUGAAGGGGGACAUGGUGAUGUGCCAUCAACAAAGGAAUACACGCCUUGGCCCAAGAGAAACGGUUUCAUCUGCAUCCUCCAAUACAGGAAAUUAUGGUUGGAGAGUUUUAAAGAGACUACCUGGUGUGUGUUAGGAAGAAGGAUAUUUAUAGAAUGUGUUAAGUUGUGCCUUAGCCAACCUUCCUAUUUAUAUAUAUGUGGCAGAACACAGCAAUAACUGUAGGGAUUACAACAUUGGAAUAAUCCUAUAUUAUUUUUCUAUUCUGAUAUAUACAAGCUAUACAUUCUAUAAUAAGGGAUAAUGGAGGCAGUAUGGGAUGCGCCAUACAUAACUGAUUGCACCACAAGGGAGAAAGAAGAUUGAAGAGCUGAUGCAGCGGCAACAGACUGUUGAAGUUCUUGAUUGUCCAUGUUGCUAGGGAGAAGUUGCAGUUUUGAUUUCCUGGAUGCUUGAUGAGAAGUAACAGAGGAAGAAGAUGAAUGAUCUCUACUAAGAAGAAACUGCUGCUGGCGAAUAUAAUUAGUUGCAGUUUUAUUAAUUAAUCUAAUGACUACAACCGUAAAGAAUCCAAACAAAAGGAAUAUUAGUUUAUGUUGCAUGAAUUAAUGAUAAGGAAAGGGAAUAUUAGUUUAUGCUGAGAUUCUAAUUUGUUUAUUCUCAUGAAUUAAUGAUAUGGAGAUGUCCAUUCAGAAUUGACUUUCUACCACACAAACAAUAAAAAAAUAUCACCCACCCCCUUCUAGGAUCAUUGAAACUUGCUUGGAAAGAAAUGUUUGAAGGCAAUAAUAUUUAAUUGGUCUCUGCGCACAUCACCUGCCCAAAGUCUUCGCCUUAUCUCUCGCUCUCUGAUCCAUUUCUGGAUUUAUUUCUUCGUGUAAAAAUGUCAAUAACAGUCACUUCAAUUCUAGUCUCCAUUGUUUAUGUUGCAGUGCUAAGAUGGGCAUGGAGGGUUUUGAACUGGGUUUGGUUUCGGCCGAAGAAGGUCGAGAGGUGCUUGAGACAACAAGGUUUUGCAGGCAAGCCUUACAGGCUUUUGUUUGGAGACUGGAAAGAAAAAUCAGAUAUGUUGAAGGAAGCAAGGACCAAACCCAUUGGUUUAUCAGACGCUCUUCUACCUCGUGUCAUGCCCUUCCUCCAUCAACUGGUCAAGGAUUAUGGUAUUUCAACACGCAACCCUUUAUUAUCUCUCUCGUAGAAAAGAUGAUUUUUCUUGCUAGUUAAAUAUUUCUCCGAUUUAUUAAGAAAUUCCUUUUGUUUUCUAUAAGGCGCCAAUGAUUGAGAAAUUAAAACCACUGUGCUGGCCGAAUGUUUCAGCCGAUUUUCUUAUUUUAUUUCAUUUUAUAGUGCUCUUGUGGACUACUCUCGCCUCAAACCUAGUUUUCUAUCAAUGGGAGAAAAAUAUAUAGAUUAAAUUAAUUACUUCUUAAUUAUAGUUUUAGAGAGUUAUAAUAUUUUUAAAACAGACCAAGUGGGUAUUAAUUUUCAAUAUUCAUGGUAUGCGUAUUUGAUCUCUUGGUAGUGUUGGUUUCCUACUGGACAGAACAGUACUAAUUACUAAUAGUUGAAAACAUUGGUUUCCAAGUCAGUAUUGAACUUGUUAUUAGUUGGCUAGAGGUUGUAUAAAUAUAAAUAAAAGAAUUUAAUAUCGUAUGUUUAUUUUUACAUUUCAAAAAUAUUUUUGAAAAAAAUUAAAAAAUUAAAUUUUUUACUUCAAAUUAAUUUUUUGGUGUUUUUAGAUCGUUUUGAUGUCAAAAUAAAUUUUAGAAAAUGAAAAAAUAUUAUUUUGAUUUAUUUUUAAAUGAAAAAACACUUUAAAAAACAACCGAUAUCACAAUAUCAAACAGGUUCUGAGAAUAUCUAGUGUGGUCGAAAACUAAUAGUAUUGUGUGCGUGGAGGAACAAGAAAAAAAAAAGAAGAAGAGUAAAUUGUGACUGUGUUUAUUGAAUGGAUAAUAAUAGUAUAUAGGUUGCAUGUGAUAAUCUAGAUGGUGUAUAAUGGGUGCAUAGUGAUUAGUUUAGGUUGUGUAUAAUAUAACCUAUUCGUGUUGUGAGGGUACAAUUGUGUAGUUGUGUGGGGUAACUUGAUUAUUUUAUGAUUCAAAAAUCAGAUUCUAAAUGUUGAUUUAUAUUUAACAAAAUUAAUACUUUUGUAUUUAUCUAGGUAUAUUAAAAGAAUCAUAACUUUACGUUUUCUUGCAUGUUAAAGUAAAGUUGCAUCUAGAGAAGAUUAUACUUUGUCAACUCUAUUGAGGUGUUCAUAAAAAUAUAAAAAUCUAUUAGAAAAAGAAAUAAAAAUUCUCUUACAAGAAUUUUACCUUAUAGUGUGAAGUGCAAUUUUUUCUGGGUUUGGAUUUCUUUUGUUCAUAUCUCAAUUUGAGCCUCGUGUAUUUCCCUCAACAGAAGAAUAUAUAUAUAUAUAUAUUUUGAUUAAUAAGUAUGCUUCCUCUGACGAUGCAGGUAAGAAUUCAUUUAUGUGGGUUGGGCCGAAACCAAGAGUGAACAUCAUGAACCCUGAUCAGAUAAAGGACGUAUUCAUGAAGAUAAAUGAAUAUCAGAAGCCCUCGCACCCGCUGUUGAAACAUCUAGCAUGUGGACUUGGAAGUCACGAGGGUGAAAAUGGGCUAAACAUAGAAAGAUAAUCAACCCAGCAUUCCAUCAAGAGAAGCUAAAGGUGAUCAUGAUAGUCUCAACUUAUUUGCCUAUAAGCAUCCAUGCUAUUCGAUUGCCUUGAAUGAGUAUAAAAAUGAUAGCAUGUUGUGCUCUCAUAUAUAUAGCUGUAGUAUAAAACUUUCGAUGAUGAUAUAUUCUGUUUUACAGCUUAUGAUACCUGCGUUUUCCGAAAGUUGUAGCGGGAUGAUUAACAAGUGGGAGAAGCUGGUCUCUGUAGACGAGGGCUCAUGUGAAUUGGAUGUCUGGCCUGAUCUUCAAGGCUUAACAUGUGAUGCUAUUUCUCGAACGUCGUUUGGAAGUAAUUACGAAGAAGGAAAAAGAAUAUUUGACCUCCUCAAGGAACUUACCGAUCUUACAGUUCAUUUUAUAAUAAAAGCAAUUGUCAUACCAGGGUACAGGUAACUCUUUAUUCUGUUUUUGCUGGACAUUACAAUUCAGUUCCUUCAAGUUAGUCCUUGUUCAAUGAGAUAUAUCUUAAAAGUAAGAAGCAGAACAAAUCCAAAUCUCUUGACAACAUGUUCAUGGAUUGCAUGUAGGUUUCUGCCGAUCCCAUCUAAUAGAAGGCUAAAAGCUAUUGACAAAGAAAUAAAAGCUUCUCUUAAUGCUCUCAUCAACAAAAGAGAGCAAGCAAUGAGUGCUGGUGAAGAUGCAAAGAAUGACUUGUUGGGUUUACUUCUGGAAUCCAAUUUUAGAGAAAUACAAGAGCAUGGAAAUACCAAGAGCGUCGGAAUGAGCAUUGAAGAUGUGAUUGAUGAAUGUAAAAUAUUCUACGUUGCUGGACAAGAAACAACCUCAGUUCUUCUUACCUGGACCAUGGUUUUAUUGGCUCAGUAUCCGAAUUGGCAAGCACGCGCAAGAGAAGAGGUUGUGCAAGUCUUUGGUAACAAAAAACCAGAUUUCGAUGGGCUAAAUCACCUUAAAGUUGUGAGUAUUUCUCUGCAUUUGCAACUGAAUUCUUCUACAUCAAUAUUGUCUUGUUAUUGUUAAGAACACAGAGCAUUCUUGCAUUUAAAAUGCAAGCUUAGGUAUCCUUUGAAGAAAAAGUAAGAUAGCAGAAAAAAAAACGUUCAUGUUUUCUUUCGUUGAAUUAUUAAUCGGCCAAAAUGACGAGGAAAAACAACCAACAGAUGAGUACGCAAGCAAGCUAGGAGGUGACAUCUAUAUACAUUAAGAAUGAGAUUUACUAGCUCUUGGAUCAACAUAAAGAUUCUCAAUUUAGUAAGUUGAAAUGGCAUGCAAAUGAUCUCUAUAUAUGCGAUAUUUUAUUUUAUCAAAGUGGAUCGCAUCACCUUUUUAAUGGAUUCUUACCAUGUAGUAUCAUUCUCUCUUUUGAUGCAUGUUACAGGUUACCAUGAUUUUGUAUGAAGUUCUUAGGUUAUACCCGCCGGUAAUUAUGCUUAAUCGAGAUGUUCAUGAAGAAAUAAAGCUUGGAAAUUUGCUAUUACCUGCCGGAGUGCAGAUCUCGGUGCCAACAAUCCUCCUUCA